UACGUAGGGUGCAAGCGUUGUCCGGAAUCAUUGGGCGUAAAGCGCGCGUAGGCGGCCCGAUAAGUCCGCUGUAAAAGUCAACGGCUCAACUGUUGAAAGCCGGUGGAUACUGUCGGGCUAGAGUACGGAAGAGGCAAGCGGAAUUCCUGGUGUAGCGGUGAAAUGCGUAGAUAUCAGGAGGAACACCUGCGGUGUAGACGGCUUUCUGGACCAUAACUGACGCUGAGGCGCGAAAGCUAGGGGAGCAAACAGG
rnacentral:rRNA from 1 species